UGUCGACAGACCCUGACUGCA
rnacentral:piRNA from 1 species